CAGUACCAGGUCCGAUCGGGGGGCCGGGUUCGAACGGUACUGGGUUCAGACGGGCUGGCUGGGUCCAUAUGCUGAUGUGUUGGGUCGGCCGGCCUCGGGGUCGGGCUCGUGGGUGGAGUUCGGAUGGACGGUACCGGGUCCUCCGGGCGGGCCGGGUUCGGCCAGACGUGCUGGGCUGUCGAGGCCCCGUGGCCAGGACGCGCGGAGCCCCUCUGCGCGCUGACCACACGGGCCCCGCAGCGCCCGACCAGGCCAGCCCCGGGGUGACCCUGUCCGCCCCGCCCGGGGCUGGGCCCCCUCGUCCGUGUUUGUCCCGCUGUGUCCGGGUCACGUGUGGACCGGAACACCCGUCCUCUCCUAGCACAGGCUUCCAGUUACGGGGCGGGGGGUCCCCCGAGGUGCCCCCGCGGGGGGAUGCUGCCGGUCCACUGCGCGGGCGCCUCUCAGGCUCCCGGUGUCCGCGCAGACCCCACAUUCAUUUCAGUAGCAAGCUUUGUCCAUUUUAGGAAUGUUUAUUUCAUUAGGGGUUUUUUAAUUGCCUCUUCCUCGUGCCCCCCCCCCUUAAAAAAAAAAAACAAAACUGGCUGCAGAACACCUGUCAGCAGACAGAUCUCCGUGCUGCGCUCGGCCAGGAAACAGAAGAGGAGGCUAUAAAUAGAUCAUGAAAAGAAGAACAAGAGCUGGAUCUCAUGAAGGUACAAGCUGACUCCCAGGGCUCGCCAGGCACCGCAGCGCGACGCGAGGCGAGCCGUGUCGUGUUCUCGGGGUGGAUUCUCCCGAAAGCCUCACAAGCGCUGUGGCGGCUCCCUCUGUUUCUAGUUUCCAUUUGAAGACGGGGCGGAGUCCCCCUAACUUCUGUGACUGCACCCUUGCCUGCUGGACCUCUGCCAAUACUGGAUAUUGAUUGUUUGUGAGAUCACUGCCCUACAAGAGUUCACAGUGUUUGAGAAUUCUUGCCAGAGCUUCUCGUAAAGAAAUUUCACAGAGAAAUCAUGAAAUAUUACACCACGUGAUACAGCACUUCUUUGUCAACACACCUCAUCGUAACUUCUGUUUAAGGAAAGCAUCCAAAAACCACCCGAUUGUGCUGAGUUUGGUCCCAGUGGAGGACGUCUUCGUAACGUGCUUCUGGGCAGUUUCCUUUCGAGCCCCUCCCCCAGACCAUACACCCGUGAGCCUGAUUUGCAG
ensembl:lncRNA